CGUUUGCAGAAAAAGUGGCCAGUUGCUGAUGUGCGACACGUGUUCCCGUGUGUAUCAUCUGGACUGCUUAGACCCUCCUCUGAAAGCGAUUCCCAAGGGCAUGUGGAUCUGUCCCAGAUGUCAGGACCAGAUGCUGAAGAAGGAAGAAGCAAUUCCAUGGCCUGGAACUUUAGCAAUUGUUCAUUCCUAUAUUGCCUACAAAGCAG